ACACCUGCCGUCAGUCGAAUCAGCCAUGCGAGAAACCGCAGGCAGCGCGUGUCGACUGUGGGUACGGCCGGUCAGGGACCAAGCCCGCGUGCAAGGUCACCCCGAAGACGUGAUCUUUCACCCCUCGCCGACGAACCGCGCUGGUUCCGUGAAGGUGGCCGCCUCUUCUCCGCUGGGUGCUUGACAGGUGACAACGGAGCUGGCGCAAGACGCGAAACAAAAGGGCUCGAGAGCCCACCCAACUACGCCCACGUAGAAACCGGAAGGUCGAGCCUCCUGACCGUAGUACUGGACAGCUGGGACUUGCUGCUUGUCGUCUGCCUACCUGAUAAAUGCUUGAAAACCGGUCAGGAGUAAUGCUGCCGGGCCGAGCGACACACACUGUGAAGGCAAACGUUCCAAUAUACAUGUACUAUUCAGUGUGCGAAUGUCAUGGUAUUCUUUGUAUUGCACAGCUGAGUAACAUGAACGUGCCUGUAAGUGUUUAAAUGUCACUUCCUGUGCCCUGUUAGGCUUGAUCUGUGGAGGAGAAAAUAGUGUUCUACUCAUUUAUUACCGUUGUUGCGUGUAGUGGGAGUAUCUGUGAAUGCACUCUCGAA